GGAACGAAAGGCCAAGAUGAGCAUGGGGUAGAUAUAGGAAGAGAGGCAACAUGAGGCAGCACCACCUCUGCUCCACACGUGAUCUGGCCAAGCCUGGGUUCUGCUGCCAAGCCAGAAGCUGUAUGUAAGAUCACAACAAGGAGUGACCCUUGCCUUGGUGAAGCCAACAGCAGUCAUCGCAGGCAGAUCUACCUGUCAGGGACCGGAGACUCUGCACCCCCAUCUCUCCACCCAGAGAUCAGAGUCUGGAGCAGACAGAAGCUCCAUUCCUGUUGGUCCUGCCAUGGCUCCCGGGCUGCUCUACUGUGUGGCCUUUUGUCUCCUUGGAGCAGGUCCCAUGGGUGCCAUGGUCAUCCAGAGCUCAAGAUACCAGGUUACGAGGGUGGGGAAACCAGUGAAUCUGAGCUGUUCUCAGAAUAUGAAUCAUGACAGCAUGUAUUGGUACCAACAGAAGCUGAACCAAGGCCCAAAGCUGCUCCUCUACUUCUAUGAUACAGACCUUAACAAAGAAGCAGACACCUCUGAUAACUUCCAGGCCAGCUGGGCCAACACUUCUUUCUGUUCUCUCAACAUCCUCUCGCCAGGCUUGGGGGACUCAGGAGUGUAUCUCUGUGCCAGCAGUAAAGACACAGAGCUGUAG